rnacentral:tRNA from 1 species
GUGCUAGUAGCUCAAUUGGUAGAGUACCAGAUUGUGGUUCUGGGCGUUGUGGGUUCAAGUCCCAUCUGGCACCCCA